CGAAUGCAUUUUAGUUUUGAUUAGCAUAGAAGCAUGGCCUGGACUUAAAUUACAGAUGUUACUGUUAAGGUACAGACAGAGGCGAGGUUCUCUGAUGUGUCGACAAAUAACAUACGGGAAGAUUCCACCUGUAUUGAGGAGAGCAGAUUACACCCGUAUUGAGCUCCGAGCCGUCACCAACGUUUUACCGCGGAGGCGACAACUGCGCGUCUAUAGCCGCUUCUGAAAACUACGAAAGGAUUCAAACCAGCCACUGCUGCCUGUGGUUCUCAACUGGCCAGGAAUUGUCCCAGAUGCAGUCAUGAGGAAUCCAUCUUCACAAACUGCAAGUGGCAAAGAAAUUCACCAGAGACCUUCACAUCUGUUAAGAUCUGAGUAUAUUUAACAGAGAGGGUUGUGCUGGUCCCUAGUGAACACCUGAUGGUCAACAUGCGAGUCCGUAUGCAGAACUGGUGACAGUGCACACUUUAAGUUCCAGUAAUCAUCCAACAUCAUGUCUGUGUGAAACUCUAUCCCAUGAUGAGCACCCUCUUCGGUCAAGUCUGGACUCAGUGACUCAUUAUUCUUGAUCAACCAGGGCAAGUUGCUUAUCCUUUAUAUAUAUAUGGAUGCAUGCUGCUUUUUUUCAGCAUCUCAGCACUGCUUUGUGAGUAUCCUGUUCAUUUAAUUAAUGCAAGAAAAGUUUCUUAAAGUUCAUCAAAAUAGUCUGUACCUUGGAUUGUAAUGAGUGUUAUUUGUUAUACAUACAUCAUCUAAACCGCUUAUCCUUCUGGGUCGCGGUGGGGUGCUGGAGCCUAUCCCAGCUGUCAUUGGGCGGAAGGCAGGAUACACCCUGGACAGGUCGCCAGUCCAUCGCAGGGCAGACAGACAUACAUAUAC